GAUGAAGAACGCAGCGAAAUGCGAUAAGUAAUGUGAAUUGCAGAAUUCAGUGAAUCAUCGAAUCUUUGAACGCACAUUGCGCCCCUUGGUAUUCCGAGGGGCAUGCCUGUUCGAGCGUCAUUAUACCCCUCAAGCUCAGCUUGGUGUUGGGGCCUGCUGCACUGGCAGCCCUUAAAAUCAGUGGCGGCGCCAUCUGGCUCUAAGCGUAGUAAUUCUUCUCGCUAUGGAGUCCUGGUGGAUGCUUGCCAUCAACCCCCAAUUUUUCUAUGGUUGACCUCGGAUCAGGUAGGGAUACCCGCUGAACUUAAGCAUAUCAAUAAGCGGAGGA
rnacentral:misc_RNA from 1 species